rnacentral:rRNA from 1 species
GUGGGGAAUUUUGGACAAUGGGCGCAAGCCUGAUCCAGCCAUGCCGCGUGCAGGAUGAAGGCCUUCGGGUUGUAAACUGCUUUUGUACGGAACGAAAAAGCUCUCUCUAAUACAGGGGGUGAAUGACGGUACCGUAAGAAUAAGCACCGGCUAACUACGUGCCAGCAGCCGCGGUAAUACGUAGGGUGCAAGCGUUAAUCGGAAUUACUGGGCGUAAAGCGUGCGCAGGCGGUUAUGUAAGACAGAGGUGAAAUCCCCGGGCUCAACCUGGGAACUGCCGUUGUGACUGCAUAGCUGGAGUGCGGCAGAGGGGGAUGGAAUUCCGCGUGUAGCAGUGAAAUGCGUAGAUAUGCGGAGGAACACCGAUGGCGAAGGCAAUCCCCUGGGCCUGCACUGACGCUCAUGCACGAAAGCGUGGGGAGCAAACAGGAUUAGAAACCCUUGUAGUCC